AGAAUGUUUGGAAAAGUAAAGCCUAUGAAGUUAAAUGAACUGCAAUCUGCUGUCCUCUAUUUGUUCAUAGACAUUGGACAGGGGAUGAAAGUUGCAGUAACACAAGCACAAUAGAAAAAUGUUUAGUGCAGCAUCUGUGUCAGGGGUAACCCUGUGAAUAUCCCCUGGACACCAGGUGAGGAGUCUCACUAGCCCCUGAAGAAAACUACAGGAGUGUGGUUGAAACGAUCGUCGGGCUGCCACUUGUUGCUACUGUAUCAUGCUGUUGGACUAAUAAAUCCGGCAUAAAUGGCACAUCAGCAGCAGGAAGAGACCGUGGUCACUACAGAAGAAACGUAGGGAAGUGACAAGACAAGGUUAGGCAUCCAUCAAAAUACUGCAGCCGAGGAAAGGAAUGUGCACUUGUGAGUCUACAAUCCCAUAAAAAACACCUGGCUUGUCUACGACUGUGGAGAUCUGAGACAUGUUGCUUUCAGCUUCUUUCUGUAUCUUUGGAAACUGAACCUAAGAAGCUUAUGUUUGCUGGCACAUGCGAUCAUAUUGGAGAAGAGCUCAUCUAUUACCAACCAGUGGAUGAUUUCUAUGAGACAUGCAGUAUUUGUGGAAGAAACUUUGCACAAGGAGAUGGAAGAACAUAUGGACAAUGCAGAACAAUUGUUGACUCCCUUAGUUAUGAAAAUAUCUUUUCACAGGCAGACUAGGUCACUCAUCCACAGGGGGGAUCUUACAUGUGAUUUCUGUAGCAGGAGUCAUACGUAUCUGCAGCUGUACACUGGACAACAUGAGGACCCGGCCCUAGAAAGGCAGAAGGGGGAAUAGAUAGGUUAAUUAAUUAAAAGAAGGGAGUUGAGAAAGUCAACUUUAUGUUCUUCAUUUAUAGUUGCCAUUUUGUAACACUAGCAGCCAUUUUCGUAGACUGUAUGUUAUUAAUGAACCCAUCUGCUUUAACUACAUGACUGGUAAGGACAAGACAAGGAAUGUGAAAUUCAGAGAAAAUAAACUUCUUUCCCUUGAAA